GUGAUCAUUUUUUUGUUUUCUUAUGGCCUUAUACAGCUGGUUGAGUUCGGUCUUAGUGCCAGCAUCGGUUUGUGGUGGAAAGCACGAAGAGAGAAGAGAUGGAACUUCACCAGGAAGUCCACUAUUCUCCCGGUGUGGACUCUGAGAAGGUGAUCUCCUCUCUCUCUCUCCAAAGGGUGUGCUCAGCGUCAAGGAUCCCUACUGCCCAUGCCAGCUGUCCAGGAAAGAGGGCUCUCCAUGGCCAUCAGCAAGAAGUAAACUCCCCAUGAGUAAACUUCCAACAUUGUGUGAU